CUAUUGCGAUCCACUGCUUGAAAUAGGCCUCCACAAGUUCGCGCCAAAAUUGGCACCAACUCAUGUGUUUUGCCCAUAGUCACCAAGCUG